rnacentral:rRNA from 1 species
AUCCAGAGAACUUAGCAGAGAUGCUUUGGUGCCUUCGGGAACUCUGAGACAGGUGCUGCAUGGCUGUCGUCAGCUCGUGUUGUGAAAUGUUGGGUUAAGUCCCGCAACGAGCGCAACCCUUUAUCCUUUGUUGCCAGCGGUUCGGCCGGGAACUCAAAGGAGACUGCCGGUGAUAAACCGGAGGAAGGUGGGGAUGACGUCAAGUCAUCAUGGCCCUUACGGCCAGGGCUACACACGUGCUACAAUGGCGCAUACAAAGAGAAGCGACCUCGCGAGAGCAAGCGGACCUCAUAAAGUGCGUCGUAGUCCGGAUUGGAGUCUGCAACUCGACUCCAUGAAGUCGGAAUCGCUAGUAAUCGUAGAUCAGAAUGCUACGGUGAAUACGUUCCCGGGCCUUGUACACACCGCCCGUCACACCAUGGGAGUGGGUUGCAAAAGAAGUAGGUAGCUUAACCUUCGGGAGGGCGCUUACCACUUUGUGAUUCAUGACUGGGGUGAAGUCGUAACAAGGUAGGCGUAGCGAG